rnacentral:rRNA from 1 species
AUGUCGUGCAGUUCACCGGCAACCAACAGCCUCCUCGACCACUCCUCUGCUCCCUUGUGCGGUUUUCUUGGCACGGCAGCGCGGUUCUUCACUCUGCAUUUGGUUCUGGUCGCGCUCUAUGUGCAGUUUGGUGCGUACGCGCUUGCGGUUCGCCCGGCCACGACAUGCAGAUAUCCACCACUCCUCUCUCUGAAUUCGUCCGCCGGCGGGAUCCUCAAGUGGGCACUCCUAAUCUUCUCUGUUGCAGGAGCUACGCCAGCAAGGGCUCGUGCAGUGCGCAAAAAUAGAAAAAACUAUCAUUGA